GCGGCGUGCUUAACACAUGCAAGUCGAACGAUGAACCACUUCGGUGGGGAUUAGUGGCGAACGGGUGAGUAACACGUGGGCAAUCUGCCCUGCACUCUGGGACAAGCCCUGGAAACGGGGUCUAAUACCGGAUACUGACCCGCUUGGGCAUCCAAGCGGUUCGAAAGCUCCGGCGGUGCAGGAUGAGCCCGCGGCCUAUCAGCUUGUUGGUGAGGUAAUGGCUCACCAAGGCGACGACGGGUAGCCGGCCUGAGAGGGCGACCGGCCACACUGGGACUGAGACACGGCCCAGACUCCUACGGGAGGCAGCAGUGGGGAAUAUUGCACAAUGGGCGAAAGCCUGAUGCAGCGACGCCGCGUGAGGGAUGACGGCCUUCGGGUUGUAAACCUCUUUCAGCAGGGAAGAAGCGAAAGUGACGGUACCUGCAGAAGAAGCGCCGGCUAACUACGUGCCAGCAGCCGCGGUAAUACGUAGGGCGCGAGCGUUGUCCGGAAUUAUUGGGCGUAAAGAGCUCGUAGGCGGCUUGUCACGUCGGUUGUGAAAGCCCGGGGCUUAACCCCGGGUCUGCAGUCGAUACGGGCAGGCUAGAGUUCGGUAGGGGAGAUCGGAAUUCCUGGUGUAGCGGUGAAAUGCGCAGAUAUCAGGAGGAACACCGGUGGCGAAGGCGGAUCUCUGGGCCGAUACUGACGCUGAGGAGCGAAAGCGUGGGGAGCGAACAGGAUUAGAUACCCUGGUAGUCCACGCCGUAAACGGUGGGCACUAGGUGUGGGCGACAUUCCACGUCGUCCGUGCCGCAGCUAACGCAUUAAGUGCCCCG
rnacentral:rRNA from 1 species